rnacentral:rRNA from 1 species
AGAGUUUGAUCAUGGCUCAGAUUGAACGCUGGCGGCAUGCUUUACACAUGCAAGUCGAACGGCAGCGCGGGCUUCGGCCUGGCGGCGAGUGGCGAACGGGUGAGUAAUGCAUCGGAACGUACCCAGUCGUGGGGGAUAACACAUCGAAAGAUGUGCUAAUACCGCAUACGUCCUGAGGGAGAAAGCGGGGGACCUACGGGCCUCGCGCGAUUGGAGCGGCCGAUGUCAGAUUAGCUAGUAGGUGGGGUAAAGGCCCACCUAGGCGACGAUCUGUAGCGGGUCUGAGAGGAUGAUCCGCCACACUGGGACUGAGACACGGCCCAGACUCCUACGGGAGGCAGCAGUGGGGGAUUUUGGACAAUGGGGGCAACCCUGAUCCAGCCAUGCCGCGUGAGUGUAGAAGGCCUUCGGGUUGUAAAGCUCUUUCGGCCGGGAAGAAAUCGCGUCCUUUAAUAGAGGGUGUGGAUGACGGUACCGGACUAAGAAGCACCGGCUAACUACGUGCCAGCAGCCGCGGUAA